rnacentral:rRNA from 1 species
UGAGGAAUAUUGGUCAAUGGACGCAAGUCUGAACCAGCCAAGUAGCGUGCAGGAUGACGGCCCUAUGGGUUGUAAACUGCUUUUAUAUGGGAAUAAAGUGAGGGACGUGUCCCUUAUUGCAUGUACCAUAUGAAUAAGGACCGGCUAAUUCCGUGCCAGCAGCCGCGGUAAUACGGAAGGUUCGGGCGUUAUCCGGAUUUAUUGGGUUUAAAGGGAGCGUAGGCCGUUUGGUAAGCGUGUUGUGAAAUGUAGGAGCUCAACUUCUAGAUUGCAGCGCGAACUGUCAGACUUGAGUGCGCACAACGUAGGCGGAAUUCAUGGUGUAGCGGUGAAAUGCUUAGAUAUCAUGAAGAACUCCGAUUGCGAAGGCAGCUUACGGGAGCGCAACUGACGCUGAAGCUCGAAGGUGCGGGUAUCGAACAGG